ACCUAUAUGGUUUGUUGCAAACUGUAGUUCUAUGUUGUCUUGGGAAAGCGCGAAGGGACAUGCCAUUAUCCCUGCAUUAUUACUUCCAAAGAGAAGAAACAUUAUCAUACUGCAUUCAUAACACGUAAUCCAACAAGUGCUCAACUCAAGUUCAAAUCAUCAGGAGAUUACACGCGCACUCAAAUUCGUAAAGUGUGAAAUUGAAAAGCACUUGGCAUGUGACUCCUCAUUCAGCAUUUGCUAGAUUGAAGUCAUGAGAAAUCAAAUGACAUUAUUU